rnacentral:ncRNA from 1 species
GGUCAAGAGCGUCAGCGUGCAGCCCUGGCUUGCUGACCGGCAACCCUCCGCUGCGGUGGGGUGCUCCAGGUGACGACCGGACAGGACGACGGCGUCCUGUAAGCGCGAGGC